rnacentral:rRNA from 1 species
CCUACGGGUGGCAGCAGUAGGGAAUUUUGCGCAAUGGGCGAAAGCCUGACGCAGCAACACCGCGUGAAUGUUAAGCCCUUCGGGGUGUAAAGUCUUGUUAAUUGGGACGAAUUUUGACUGUACCUAUAAUGGAAGCACCGGCUCACUUCGUGCCAGCAGCCGUGGUAAUACGGGGGGUGCAAGCGUUGUCCGGAAUCAUUGGGCGUAAAGGGUUCGUAGGCGGUAAGGUAAGUCUGGUGGUAAAGCCCGGGGCUCAACUCCGGUUCGGCAUUGGAUACUAUCUGGCUAGAAUGUGGUAGAGGUAAAGGGAAUGCCUGGUGUAGCGGUGAAAUGCGUAGAUAUCAGGUAGAACAUCGGUGGCGAAGGCGCUUUACUGGACCAUUAUUGACGCUGAGGAACGAAAGCCAGGGGAGCGAAUGGGAUUAGAUACCCUUGUAGUC